GUUGUUAUUGGGUUACAAAAUAAAUGGGUCAAGCCCAAUUUUAGGGGACUUUUGACCCAACCCAUAUCAUUUGAAAUUGAAGAAAAGCCCAGGCUUAUUACCACCGGCAUCUUUCUUUCUCUGUUAUUCCACCGGCAGCGACCGGCGGCUUCCAUUUUUUUCUCAAGUGCUCCUUCUCUCUUUGCCCUUUGCCGUUUCUAGCGCUUCACUUGCCAUCUCUUAUCGGGUUAUGGGAUCGCCGAAUGUUAGAGAUAUCUUGAAAGCGUAUAGUCCUUCUUUGGACUCCUUUUCUAUUAGUUGGAGAUGGUCGUAUCAAGAUUUGGGACACUUUGAAGGGUCAAAUUCAAACUGAAUUUGCUGACAUUUUAUCAAGUGAGGCAACAAACAUAUAUGCUACGGCAGAAAGAGGGCAUCUUUCGAUUGAUUACAAAUGUAUCAAGUGGGUUUCUUUUGACAAAAAGGUGGUUCAGCAUAUGUUAUUGAGUGAAUAAUUGUAUUUAUGAUGAUUCAUGAGGUCUCUUUUCUUUUGCGGCAAUACUAGAUCUAGAGGGUUGGCUAUUCAGUCUUUGCUACAAUUAUCUGGGUGACUACAGCUAAUAACAGCGCAGAUUGACAAGGCAGCUCAGAAUAAAAGUUGAGUCUCUGCAAGUGACCAGCGAAUGGAUCAAAGUGAAGAUGAAGAUGUUGACAAUGUAGAUGAAGUUAUUUACAGGGAAGAAGAUGAAUACCAAAUAAGUAGCGAUGAUGAUAAUUAACUGCCUUUCAUGGCAAGAGAUCCAAAGUUGCAGAGUAGUGUUAGCUUUGAAGUGGAUUUAAAACAAAGGGGGCAUAGUCUUAAGGAAAAACAUUGCCGCCUCAAGAUUCUAUAGUUCUUCAUAAUUUAUUCUUUACUGACUUUCUCCCUCCUGGAGGCAAAAGAAAGAGUCCCUUUUGAUCAUAUUUCCCUUG